AUUGAACGCUGGCGGAAUGCUUUACACAUGCAAGUCGAACGGUAGAGGGGGCAACCCCUCGAGAGUGGCGAACGGGUGAGUAAUAUAUCGGAACGAGCCCAGUCGUGGGGGAUAACGUAGCGAAAGUUACGCUAAUACCGCAUACGAUCUAAGGAUGAAAGCGGGGGAUCGCAAGACCUCGCGUGAUUGGAGCGGCCGAUAUCAGAUUAGGUAGUUGGUGGGGUAAAGGCUCACCAAGCCAACGAUCUGUAGCUGGUCUGAGAGGACGACCAGCCACACUGGAACUGAGACACGGUCCAGACUCCUACGGGAGGCAGCAGUGGGGAAUUUUGGACAAUGGACGCAAGUCUGAUCCAGCCAUUCCGCGUGCAGGAUGAAGGCCCUCGGGUUGUAAACUGCUUUUGUACGGAACGAAAAGGUCUCUCUUAAUACGGGGGGCUCAUGACGGUACCGUAAGAAUAAGCACCGGCUAACUACGUGCCAGCAGCCGCCGUAA
rnacentral:rRNA from 1 species